GAGCCACCCAGGCGCCCUCUUGUGUUCUCUUUUAAUUGGAGAGACUCAAACAAGAAGGAUCCAGACUGGCUGGAUUCCAUCUGCACCUUUGAGCCCUCUGAGCAGCUCAUGGUGGAGGGAGCCCGUCGCCCAAGCAGCACCUGGCACAGAGCAGGUGCCCCGCGUACAAGUCGCCUAUAGAGAAGGAGAGGAUGUUCCAGCAAGCUUUCUGGCUAUUUGAACAUCUUCCUAAACGAAUUUCAGAAUUAUUGAAAGGUUUUAGAGAACUGGUUUUGGAAAGGUUGUCAGAACAAAGAUAAUUGUUGAAGUAAGGAGGGAGAGGGAGAAAAAAAGAACAAAGGUAAUUGUUAAUCUGUAAGCCACAUCUUCGCUUCUUGCUUGCAGACCUAUUUGCUCUGCAAUGCUCACAGAAUUUUUUAAAAAUGCAAAUGUUAGCUAAGUAUUCUUUUAUUAAUUU